rnacentral:pre_miRNA from 1 species
AGUAGGAUAGCUGGGUCAAAUGGUGGUUUCAUUCCAAUUUUUCAAGGAAUCUCCAUACUACUUUCCAGAUUGGCUGCACCAAUUUGCAGACCCACCAGAAAU